AUUGAACGCUGGCGGCAGGCCUAACACAUGCAAGUCGAGCGAGCGGCGGACGGGUGAGUAAUGUAUGGGGACUGCCCGAUAGAGGGGGAUAACUACUGGAAACGGUGGCUAAUACCGCAUACUAUCGGAUAACCCAUAUGGGAUUAGCUAGUAGGUGGGGUAAAGGCUCACCUAGGCGACGAUCUCUAGCUGGUCUGAGAGGAUGAUAAGCCAAACUGGGACGAAGACACGGCCCAGACUCCUACGGUGGCAGCAGUGGGAAAUAUUGGAAAAAGGGCGCAAGCCUGAUGAAGCCAUGCCGCGUGUAUGAAGAAGGGCUUAGGGUUGUAAAGGACUUUCAGCGGUGAGGCGUUACCCGCAGAAGAAGCACCGGCUAACUCCGUGCCAGCAGCCGCGGUAAUUC
rnacentral:rRNA from 1 species